rnacentral:rRNA from 1 species
GACGAACGCUGGCGGCGUGCUUAACACAUGCAAGUCGAACGGUAAGGCCCUUCGGGGUACACGAGUGGCGAACGGGUGAGUGACACGUGGGUGAUCUGCCCUGCACUUCGGGAUAAGCCUGGGAAACUGGGUCUAAUACCGGAUAGGACUCCGGACUGCAUGGUCUGGGGUGGAAAGCUUUUGCGGUGUGGGAUGGGCCCGCGGCCUAUCAGCUUGUUGGUGGGGUGAUGGCCUACCAAGGCGACGACGGGUAGCCGGCCUGAGAGGGUGACCGGCCACACUGGGACUGAGAUACGGCCCAGACUCCUACGGGAGGCAGCAGUGGGGAAUAUUGCACAAUGGGCGCAAGCCUGAUGCAGCGACGCCGCGUGAGGGAUGACGGCCUUCGGGUUGUAAACCUCUUUCAGCAUCGACGAAGCGAAAGUGACGGUACCUGCAGAAAAAGCACCGGCUAACUACGUGCCAGCAGCCGCCGCAG